rnacentral:ncRNA from 1 species
UUCCGAUAACGAACGAGACCUUAACCUGCUAAAUAGUCAGGCCGGCUUUUGCUGGUCGCAGACUUCUUAGAGGGACUGUCAGCGUCUAGCUGACGGAAGUUUGAGGCAAUAACAGGUCUGUGAUG